rnacentral:rRNA from 1 species
AUACGUAGGUGGCGAGCGUUGUCCGGAAUUACUGGGUGUAAAGGGCGUGUAGGCGGGAGAGCAAGUCAGAUGUGAAAUAUCACGGCUCAACUGUGAGGGUGCAUCUGAAACUGUUCUUCUUGAGUACUGGAGAGGGAAGCGGAAUUCCUAGUGUAGCGGUGAAAUGCGUAGAUAUUAGGAGGAACACCAGUGGCGAAGGCGGCUUCCUGGACAGAGACUGACGCUGAGGCGCGAAAGCGUGGGUAGCGAACAGGAUUAGAUACCCUGGUAGUCCACGCCGUAAACGAUGGAUACUAGGUGUAGGAGGUAUCGACCCCUUCUGUGCCGCAGUUAACACAAUAAGUAUCCCACCUGGGGAGUACGGCCGCAAGGUUGAA